UACGUAGGGUACGAGCGUUGUCCGGAAUUAUUGGGCGUAAAGGGCUCGUAGGCGGUCUGUUGCGUCGGGAGUGAAAAUUCACAGCUUAACUGUGAACUUGCUUCCGAUACGGGCAGACUUGAGGUAUUCAGGGGAGAACGGAAUUCUUGGUGUAGCGGUGAAAUGCGUAGAUAUCAAGAGGAACACCUGAGGCGAAGGCGGGUUGCUAGGCUGAUACUGACGCUGAGUGCGCGAAAGCUAGGGUAGCAAACGGG
rnacentral:rRNA from 1 species